rnacentral:rRNA from 1 species
GAUGAACGCUAACGGCAGGCCUAACACAUGCAAGUCGAGGGGUAGCAGGAUUAAGCUUGCUUAAUUGCUGACGACCGGCGCACGGGUGCGUAACGCGUAUGCAACCUACCUUAUACUGGGGUAUAGCCCGGAGAAAUUCGGAUUAAUCCCCCAUAGUACUAAUGAAUCGCAUGGUUUAUUAGUUAAAGCAUUGCGGUAUAAGAUGGGCAUGCGUCCUAUUAGCUAGAUGGUGAGGUAACGGCUCACCAUGGCUACGAUAGGUAGGGGGCCUGAGAGGGUGGUCCCCCACACUGGUACUGAGACACGGACCAGACUCCUACGGGAGGCAGCAGUGAGGAAUAUUGGUCAAUGGGCGCAAGCCUGAACCAGCCAUGCCGCGUGCAGGAAGAAUGCCCUAUGGGUUGUAAACUGCUUUUAUUUGGGAACAAACCUCUUUACGUGUAGAGAGCUGAAGGUACCAAAUGAAUAAGCACCGGCUAACUCCGUGCCAGCAGCCGCCGUAA